rnacentral:rRNA from 1 species
UACGAAGGGGGCUAGCGUUGCUCGGAAUGACUGGGCGUAAAGGGUGUGUAGGCGGUUCUUUAAGGUUGGUGUGAAAUCUCCCGGCUCAACUGGGAGGGUGCGCCGAAUACUGAGGGACUAGAGUACGGGAGAGGAAAGUGGAAUUCCUGGUGUAGCGGUGAAAUGCGUAGAUAUCAGGAGGAGCACCGGUGGUGUAGACGGCUUUCUGGACCGUAACUGACGCUGAGACACGAAAGCGUGGGUAGCAAACAGG